GGUGGUAGUAGCCCACUAUAGCCAGCAGGUGGCAGUGUCGUAUUGGUACAUGGGCUGCUCAUUGUGAAACUGCAUUGGGUUUGUGGACAUCUGUCUACAGCUAUGAACUAUCAGUUGUAAGUGAAUCAUGAAUGUAUGUGUACACUGCUUGUGGUUGUAACCACAUAUGGGUUUUGUAUGUGUUCAAUGUUAGCUGCUAAGAAGGCCAAGAAGUUGAGCAAACCUUUGAAGAGGCAGAUGUCCUCACCCAAUUUCCAUCGCAAAGAGAAAGCAGUGGAGAAAACCCCUUCGAGGGACAACACUCCAUUCAGAGUGAGUGCCCAGAAGAGUAAAUGGGACAGCUCUCGCUCCAUUCGCUACAACCAAGACGCCCAAAGAGAGGAAGACCAGCGGCGUAUGGUGGAGAUCAUUGGUCAUCUGACUAAGAUUAGGUUCGGAGAUCAGGAACAGAGGAAGUCCAAGGACACUAAAGACGUGUGUUUUACUGAGUCGAUUACAGUCGACUUCAUUUACAUUGUGUUUGUGUAUAGUGUGGUUGUCACUGGUGUACCACCCCCCUGUUGUGGUUGUAUAAUGUGUGGUUGUAUAAUGUGUGGUUGUAUAAUGUGUGGUUGUAUAAUUUGUGGUUGUAUAAUUUGUGGUUGUAUCAUUUGUGGUUGUGGUUGUAUAAUGUGUGGUUGUAUAAUAUGUAGUUGUGGUUGUAUAAUUUGUGGUUGUGUUGUAUAAUGUGUGGUUGUAUAAUUUGUGGUUGUAUAAUUUGUGGUUGUAUAAUUUGUGGUUGUAUAAUGUGUGGUUGUAUAAUUUGUGGUUUGUAUAAUGUGUGGUUGUAUAAUUUGUGGUUGUAUAAUGUGUGGUUGUAUAAUGUGUGGUUGUAUAAUGUGUGGUUGUGGUUGUAUAAUGUGUGGUUGUAUAAUUUGUGGUUGUAUAAUGUGUGGUUGUAUAAUUUGUGGUUGUGGUUGUAUAAUGUUGUAUAAUGUGUGGU